rnacentral:rRNA from 1 species
AACGAACGCUGGCGGCGUGCCUAACACAUGCAAGUCGUGCGAGAAAGUUCCUUCGGGAGCGAGUAAAGCGGCGCACGGGUGAGUAACACGUAGGUAACCUGCCCCCCAGUCUGGAACAACUAGAGGAAACUCUAGCUAAUGCCGGAUGAGACCACGAUCCCUUCGGGGGUUGCGGCCAAAGAUGGCCUCUACUUGUAAGCUAUCGCUGAGGGAUGGGCCUGCGGGCCAUUAGCUUGUUGGUGAGGUAACGGCUCACCAAGGCUGUGAUGGCUAGCUGGUCUGAGAGGAUGACCAGCCACACUGGGACUGAGACACGGCCCAGACUCCUACGGGAGGCAGCAGUGGGGAAUAUUGGGGCAAUGGGCGCAAGCCUGACCCAGCCACGCCGCGUGAGUGAUGAAGGCCUUCGGGUUGUAAAGCUCUGUGGGAAGAGAGAAAAACUAGCCGGUUAAUAUCCAGCAGGUUGACGGUACCUUCUUAGCAGCACCGGCUAACUCUGU